AGGUCACUCAAAUGAUCGGACGGGCUGCGUCCGGUCUAAUUACUUUGGGGGGGCUCCCUUCUGCUAAUUUAAUACCCUUGGAGGAUNACGGUACCUGAAGAAUAAGCACCGGCUAACUACGUGCCAGCAGCCGCGGUAAUACGUAGGGUGCGAGCGUUAAUCGGAAUUACUGGGCGUAAAGCGUGCGCAGGCGGCUUUGCAAGACAGAUGUGAAAUCCCCGGGCUCAACCUGGGAACUGCAUUUGUGACUGCAAGGCUAUAGUACGGCAGAGGGGGAUGGAAUUCCGCGUGUACCAGUGAAAUGCGUAGAUCUGCGGAGGAACACCAAUGGCGAAGGCUAUCCCCUGGGCCUGUACUGACGCUCAUGCACGAAAGCGUGGCGAGCAAACAGGAUUAGAUACCCUGGUAUCCACGCCCUAAACUAUGUCAACUGCUUGUUGUACGGCUUGCUGUUCAUUAACCACCCUAACGCCUUGAAGUUGCCCCCCUGGGGACUACUGCCGCACGGUUUAAACUCAAA
rnacentral:rRNA from 1 species